AACGAACGCUGGCGGCGCGCCUAAUACAUGCAAGUCGAGCGAGAAGACGUAGCAAUACGUUUGUAAAGCGGCGAACGGGUGAGGAAUACAUGGGUAACCUACCCUCGAGUGGGGAAUAACUAGCCGAAAGGUUAGCUAAUACCGCGUACGCUCCUUGGACUUCGGUUCGAGGGAGGAAAGCGAUACCGUGGGUACCGCGCUCUUGGAUGGGCUCAUGUCCUAUCAGCUUGUUGGUGAGGAACGGCUCACCAAGGCUUCGACGGUAGCUGGUCUGAGAGGACGAUCA
rnacentral:rRNA from 1 species